AGCCAUUUGUAGUUGUGAGAAGAAAGAAGCUAGCUUCUAAGAGGGGACGAGGCCCCAAGAUGUGAACCGGAGCCAUUUGAAGUUGUGAAUCAUUUGCACUUGUGGGUGUUGCACUUGUGUUGUGAACCACUUGCUUACCGCGGGUGUUGUGAACCAUUUGCUGUUAAUGCUAUGAAUUGUGGGUGUUGCACUUCUAAAAGGGUUUAAUGCUAUGAAUUGUGAACCAUUUGCUUACGAUGAUUUAUAUGCUGUCAAUUGCUGUCAAAA
rnacentral:lncRNA from 1 species